UUCCGGUUGAUCCUGCCGGACCUGACUGCUAUCGGAUUGAUACUAAGCCAUGCGAGUCAUUGUAGCAAUACAAGGCAGACGGCUCAGUAACGCGUAGUCAACCUACCCUAUGGACGGGGAUAACCUCGGGAAACUGAGAAUAAUACCCGAUAGAACACUAUACCUGGAAUGGUUUGUGUUCCAAAUAAUUUAUUGCCGUAGGAUGGGACUGCGGCCUAUCAGUUUGUUGGUGAGGUAAUGGCCCACCAAGACUAUUACAGGUACGGGCUCUGAGAGGAGUGGCCCGGAGAUGGGUACUGAGACACGGACCCAGGCCCUAUGGGGCGCAGCAGGCGAGAAAACUUUGCAAUGUGCGAAAGCACGACAAGGUUAAUCCGAGUGGUUUCUGCUAAAGGAACCUUUUGACAGUCCUAGAAACACUGUUGAAUAAGGGGUGGGCAAGUUCUGGUGUCAGCCGCCGCGGUAAAACCAGCACCUCAAGUGGUCAGGAUGAUUAUUGGGCCUAAAGCAUCCGUAGCCGGCUCUGUAAGUUUUCGGUUAAAUCUGUACGCUUAACGUACAGGCUGCUGGGAAUACUGCAGAGCUAGGGAGUGGGAGAGAUAGACGGUACUCGGGAGGAAGUGGUAAAAUGCUUUGAUCUCUCGAUGACCACCUGUGGCGAAGGCGGUCUAUCAGAACAUGUCCGACGGUGAGGGAUGAAAGCUGGGGGAGCAAACCGGAUUAGAUACCCGGGUAGUCCCAGCUGUAAACUAUGCAAACUCAAUGAUGCACUGGCUUAUGGCCAGUGCAGUGUUGCAGGGAAGCCGUUAAGUUUGCCGCCUGGGAAGUACGUACGCAAGUAUGAAACUUAAAGGAAUUGGCGGGGGAGCACCACAAGGGGUGAAGCCUGCGGUUCAAUUGGAGUCAACGCCGGA
rnacentral:rRNA from 1 species